GGCAGGAUGGCCGAGCUGGUUAUGGCGUGAGGUUUAGGUCAAUCUAAGCAUCUAAUUCCUCAUGGAGACAUCCGCGUGGGUUCGAAUCCCACUCCUGUCA